rnacentral:rRNA from 1 species
UGGGGAAUAUUGCACAAUGGGGGAAACCCUGAUGCAGCGACGCCGCGUGAACGAAGAAGGUAUUCGUAUCGUAAAGUUCUGUCCUAUGGGAAGAUAAUGACAGUACCAUAGAAGAAAGCUCCGGCUAAAUACGUGCCAGCAGCCGCGGUAAUACGUAUGGAGCGAGCGUUGUCCGGAAUUAUUGGGCGUAAAGGGUACGCAGGCGGUUUAAUAAGUCGAAUGUUAAAGAUCGGGGCUCAACCCCGCAAAGCAUUGGAAACUGAUAAACUUGAGUAGUGGAGAGGAAAGUGGAAUUCCUAGUGUAGUGGUGAAAUACGUAGAUAUUAGGAGGAAUACCAGUAGCGAAGGCGACUUUCUGGACACAGACUGACGCUGAGGUACGAAAGCGUGGGGAGCAAACAGG